rnacentral:rRNA from 1 species
GAUGAACGCUGGCGGCGUGCCUAAUACAUGCAAGUCGAGCGAACAGACGAGGAGCUUGCUCCUCUGACGUUAGCGGCGGACGGGUGAGUAACACGUGGAUAACCUACCUAUAAGACUGGGAUAACUUCGGGAAACCGGAGCUAAUACCGGAUAAUAUAUUGAACCGCAUGGUUCAAUAGUGAAAGACGGUUUUGCUGUCACUUAUAGAUGGAUCCGCGCCGCAUUAGCUAGUUGGUAAGUAACGGCUUACCAAGGCAACGAUGCGUAGCCGACCUGAGAGGGUGAUCGGCCACACUGGAACUGAGACACGGUCCAGACUCCUACGGGAGGCAGCAGUAGGGAAUCUUCCGCAAUGGGCGAAAGCCUGACGGAGCAACGCCGCGUGAGUGAUGAAGGUCUUCGGAUCGUAAAACUCUGUUAUUAGGGAAGAACAAAUGUGUAAGUAACUAUGCACGUCUUGACGGUACCUAAUCAGAAAGCCACGGCUAACUACGUG